GGUGGCAGUGGUGCACACAUACACUCGGACAGACGGACAGGCACAAUGGAGGAGAAAGAGCAGGAAGGAGGCUGAGAGAAUGAAAAGAUCUCGCCAUGAGGAUUAGAGAAAGUGGGCAAGAUUAGAGCUAGCUUUAAUCCGUAGAGCCACGAGGAAGUUUGCAAUGUUGGUUUGGCUGUUGUUCUGUUCCAUCUGAGGUCUCUAAAAUUUGCUUCCCGGGAUUUUGGUGAUUUAUUGAGAGGAGGAAGAGAAGACAUUUGCAUCAGGAAGAGGUCAGGCCAAGGCAGAGGUCAAGAUUGUGGUUCUGGUGACCUGUUCUAUUGAGGUCAGGCCAAGGCAGAGGUCAAGAUUGUGGUUCUGGUGACCUGUUCUAUUGAGGUACUGGGUCCGUCUGUCUAUCCGUCCGUCUGUUUGUCUGUACGAGCGUCUUUUUCUGUUCAUUUGAGGUGUGCUUGAGUGGCAGUAACGAGCAACAGGUGAGAUUAUUAUUAUUAUUGGUUUUAUCUUCAUUAUUGCUCUCUUCUCUCUAUCUUGCUAUCUAUCCUUAUUUAUUGAUUUAUUUUCCAUGAUGCUUGUUAUCCCUGUCUCAAGGCACACAUGUGGACACACCUAACUGAUCACACCUCACACCACACAUCACACACCACACCUGUCAUUUAUAUCCUAACGUGGUACUCUAUUCUUUGCAGGGGUGUCAGGAUGGUCCAGGUGUGUGUGUGUGUGGACGGCCCAGGUGUGUGUGCGCGCGUUUGUCAUUGGUUUUUUGGAGUUUGGAGAAUUGGAGAGAGAAAGAGAGAGUUAGGUACGCUGGUGUUUGUGUGUGUGUGUGUGUGUGUUGGUGCGAGACGAGGCAAGAUUUUGACUGGAUAACUGCAAUACAAAAUAGACUCCUAGUGGGAGAUUUAAGAAGUUCGUCUGCAUUUUCUUAGGAGGGUGCGGUGGAAGAUGGAGGAGGUUGGCAGUGUAGAUGGUUGCAGGAUUGACGUGUUGAAGAAAAUGGAAACUCACUCUCUGCAUCAGCUUUCCCAAUCACUAUCUCCACAAGUUGGCAGUGUAUUGGAAGGGUGCAGUGGAAGAUAGCUGUAUGACGGAGAUAUGAAAGAAAAUGGGACAAGCUUUCCCUAUCACCGUCUACACAAGUUUGGCAGUGUUUUGGAAGGUUCAGGAGGAGGAGGAGGAGGGAGGGGAAGAGGAAGAUUAAGAAGAGGCGCGAGGAAGAGGAGGAUAAGAUGUGAAGAAAGGAAGAUGAGGAUGAAAGAGAUACAAGAAGAAAAGGAAGGAAAAGGAAAAAAAUGUGUGGGGAGAGAGAGAGAGGGAAACAAGAUGGACAUUUGUGGGGAAAAGGUGUGGGCUGGUGGAGGCUGAGACACUCGGACGUACGGACAUGCUAAUGUGUUAUGGUACGGAGGAAGAGGAAGUUAUCAGCUCUAUAUUUAAUUUCCUGGUA